rnacentral:rRNA from 1 species
AACGAACGCUGGCGGCGCGUCUUAAGCAUGCAAGUCGGACGGCAAGAAGAGAGCUUGCUCUCUUCCUAGAGUGGCGGACUGGUGAGUAACACGUGGGUGACGUACCCUUUAGCUGGGGAUAGCCGGUAGAAAUACCGGGUAAUACCGAAUAAUCUUGCUUCUUUGAAGUGAAGUAAGGAAAGGAGCUUUGGCUUCACUGAAGGAACGGCCCGCGCACUAUUAGCUAGUUGGUGAGGUAACGGCCCACCAAGGCAACGAUAGUUAUCCGGCCUAAGAGGGUGAACGGACACAUUGGGACUGAGAUACGGCCCAGACUCCUACGGGAGGCAGCAGCUAAGAAUAUUCCGCAAUGGAGGAAACUCUGACGGAGCGACGCCGCGUGGAUGAUGAAGGUCGGAAGAUUGUAAAAUCCUUUAAGUAUGAUGAAUAACCUGAUCAGGAAAUGGGACAGGGAUGACCGUAAUACUUGAAUAAGCAACGGCUAAUUACGUGCCAGCAGCCGCGGU